rnacentral:rRNA from 1 species
UGGGGAAUUGUUCGCAAUGGGCGCAAGCCUGACGACGCAACGCCGCGUGGAGGAUGAAGGUCUUCGGAUUGUAAACUCCUGUUGCUCGGGACGAAAAGCUUCGACCUAACACGUCGAAGUCUGACGGUACCGAGUGAGGAAGCCCCGGCUAACUCUGUGCCAGCAGCCGCGGUAAUACAGAGGGGGCAAGCGUUGUUCGGAAUUACUGGGCGUAAAGGGCGCGUAGGCGGCCUGCUAAGUCGAACGUGAAAUCCCUGGGCUCAACCCAGGAACUGCGUCCGAUACUGGUUGGCUUGAAUCCGGGAGAGGGAUGUGGAAUUCCAGGUGUAGCGGUGAAAUGCGUAGAUAUCUGGAGGAACACCGGUGGCGAAGGCGACAUCCUGGACCGGCAUUGACGCUGAGGCGCGAAAGCCAGGGGAGCAAACGGG